CGAUGCUGAGUUACUGAAAAGAUUCAGAUUGGACCGUGCUGGUAUUGUUGCAGUGACUGAUAUAGUGAGAGACAAGCUGCAAAGUAAAACUGAAAGAAAUAGAGCCUUGACCCCUGAGAUGGUGGCCAUCACAUUACGAUAUUUAGCCACAGGAAAAAUGCAACAGUGCAGUUGUGAUGAUUUUGGAACAACGCAGCCCACUAUCAGCCGUGCAAUAUCACAGACGAUUGAUGCACUGGCUGACCCAGAAGUAAUCUGCCAGUUCGUGGCUUUCCCUCACACCCAGCGUGAAGUGCAGCAAAAACAGGCAGAGUUCAUGCAAGUAACUCAGUUUCCCGGUGUUGUGGGAGUGAUUGAUGGCACUCAUAUAAGAAUUGUGUCUCCUCAUGUCGAUGAACAUGUAUAUGUGAACAGGAAACGCUAUCACAGCAUAAAUGUGCAAGUAGUAUUUGAUGCUCACUAUAAGAUUCUUGACAUUGUGGCAAGGUGGCCUGGCUCAGUCAACGAUGCAAGAAUACUAGAUAAGUCAGCACUCAAACUGAUGUUUGAGGAACAACAUGUACCUGCAGGAUGCUACCUUCCCGGGGACAGUGGCUAUCCCUGUAAGCAGUGGCUCCUCACUCCUUACCUUCGCCCUCAAACUGUUGCACAAGCUAAUUAUAACAGGUGGGUUUAUUUGUAAAUAGUGUUCUGUUAGGUUUAGAUAUGCUUUGAACGAAUCUAGUAGCUUUCUCCCCAGGGCCGCCCUCCCGCGUGUGCCCGCAGCCCCUACAAGAACCGGUCCCUGCCCCCCUUUGGGCACGCUCUCCUCCCAAGGCUAAGUCCCCGGGGCGUGGCCGCCCAAACUAACCCCCCUCCUCCCAACAGUUCCAGUACCUUACGAUGCAGCCGAGGGGACUGACGCCACCACCACCACUGCCACCACCGCCACAACAAGGGUUAUUCAAAUGGGGAACAUGCUUCAGGUGUUGCCCCAAGAUGCCUCAGCCCCGCAGCCCCACUUCCCCAUGAUAGUGCAGGCAGGGAAUGUCAUACAGGUUGUUCCAGCUGACAACACGCAGGUAUUAGGGGCAGAAGUCGUUGGAGUUGGUCGGGUCAUGCAAGUGGUCGGAGUCCCAGGCUUUCCCCCGACCCCAGCCCCAGACCCCUGCCCCAGCCACCCCUCUCCCUGUGACCCCUGCCCAGUCAUCCCUCACCCCCUCCUGCCCCCCUGCGGUGCUGCCAGCGGGGGUGAUGGGAGGUGGAGGUGGGCCACACACACCUGGGUUAGCUGUGGCUUGGCUUAUCUCCCUCCUCAGCAGCAAAUCCCGAGGAUCAACGAGGACAUGGUGGACCCAGAGAUUGCAGCAGCAGCAAGAGAGAGAGAGAGAAGCAAGAGAGGAGGGAGAGGAAGGAGAGGAGGAGGAGAGAGAGGGAGGCCAGGAGGGAGGCACGUCAGAGAGAGAGGGAGAGGAAGAGGUUGAUUCUGUUACAACAACAACUGCAACAACAACAACAGUUAGUCAGUGAGGAGGGGGAGGGGCCGUCCUCUGAUGCUGAGGAUGAGGUAUUGUUCAGGGAGGCCAUGUCGGAGGUGCCGGUGGUGGGGUCGCCAGUUCCGGAGUACGAGGUGGAGGAGGAAAAGGAAGAGGAGGACGAGGAGGAGGCACGGAUAAGGAAGAAGAAAAGAUUAUUACCUGUAGCCCUCCCUCCAGCUGAUAAGGGGAUAUUAAGGAGCCCUUCCUACAGGUUCGUUCGAUGCAAGGAGUUGGCACAGGAGGCGUCCGAGGCUGUGUAGAGCGGCCGUCUGAACCUGGUGCCACAGCUUACUAUGUUCAACAGAUGCCUGAAGGAAGUGUGUGUAAGGGAGGAUAAAGAGAUCAUGCUGGCCUAUGCAGACGAUGUCGCUGUCGUGACAGGAAGCCAACAAGAUCUUCAAGAGGCCAUGACAAGAUGGAAUGAUGUUUUAAAUAGGGAAGGAAUGAGAAUGAACAAACAAAAAACUUAUUUACUAGUGGACAAGCAACAAGUGAUGGUGUGGCUCUGAGCCACUGUAGUAGGGAUGUUAUGGUUUAAGUGUAGGAAGUUGCAAAUGCUCACCUAACAAUUGCACCUUAGUAGAAAAACACAAACAGGAAGUUUAUGCAAGUUUUUAUCCUUAUAUAAAAUGUUGUAUUGCAUCAAACCUCCAUACAUUACUGUCUCUAUCCAGUAUGAGACCGGUGUUCAGGAAGCACAAGCAUGUGCUGAAUAACAAGAAGCCGGCAUUGGUGAAGGUGACAACAUUUCAUCUAUUUAUACAUACUUUUUAUUAUUAAAGCUUAUCUUAUAAUUAUUUCUGAAGAGAUUGACUAAUUUUUGUAGUAUUUAUGACUUAGAACUAUGAUAAAGCUAUGAAUUGAUAUAAUUCCUGAUUUGUUUUAUCUUUUCAUUAUCCUUCCUUUGUUAAUUGAGCAUUUUAUAUUACUUAGCUUAAAAAUGCAAGAACGGUUCAGAAGUAUCCAACCUUGGGCUAAGGGCCAAAAUUAUGGUAUCAUUCAAAAUGUCCUUCAAAGAAAGCCCUCUGUAAUCCAACACACUUAGCCCAUUAAUCCUUCCAUUUCUCAUCAAUUUGUUCAACAUUCAUAUUUUUCCCUUAUAGGGUUGAACAAUUUUCAUGGGUUCAGAGCAAAAGGCUUCCUCAUUCCUCCCCAAGGUAUUCUCGGAUGGUAAGCAGGUUUGACUCUGGAGCAAACCUGACCAAGGGCUACUGCCCAAGGCUACAGAGGUUCCUCUCCCUGAGGCUGAAUGCACCAUGUGAGAUGGUUCUGUUAUGUGGAUGAAUGUCAUGGUGGAUAGCAGUGCCACCACAUUCCUACAAUCAUCCAUCACUCCACUGCUCAAACGCUUCUGCAACCAAUGAUAGGUAUGCUGCCACAUUCUGCAUGGUCUCCUUGGCUCUCAGAUAAGGAUACUGUCAACAGGUUUGGGAUUGCCAAAAAAUCAUAAGGAGCUAUGUCUGAAAAGUCCAGAGAGAGAGAGAGAGAGAAAGAAUGAGCAAGAGAAAGAGUAGGAUGAAGCAAAGGAAGAGUCAAGAGGGAGGAAGAGAGAGUAGGACAAGAAAAAACAGAACAAAUAAAUCCCCUACACGUCUUGUCUCCAUUCACACAAGCCAUGAAAAGCUUGUCCAUCCCUGAGUGCUCAGAAGCAGUGUUCCACUGAUGAUGUGGAAACUUGAGACACCCAAUCAUUUAAUGGGCUUUAGUAGGUUUUGUCACCAGUCUUCUGUGUGUCACUGACUACAUUUUGAAAUUUUUAUCUGUUCUAUUUAAUUUUGUGUGUAUGUACACAAUGUUUAUGGUCAAUAAACUAUUUAUAAAACUAUUUAUCUGUGUGAGUAAGAUAAAAGCAGUUAUUGUUAUUAUUAUUAUUAUUAUUAUUAUUAUUAUUAUUAUUAUUAUUAUUACACAUUUUCCUCCUUGUAUUUAAAUAUUAUUAUUAUUAUUAUUAUUAUUAUUAUUAUUAUCAUGAAUUGUUCUUGUUUAUAAAUAAAAUACUGUAACUGA